rnacentral:rRNA from 1 species
GAUGAACGCUGGCGGCGUGCUUAACACAUGCAAGUCGAACGAUGAAGCUGGAGCUUGCUCCGGUGGAUUAGUGGCGAACGGGUGAGUAACACGUGAGCAAUCUGCCCUUGACUCUGGGAUAACUGCGGGAAACUGUAGCUAAUACCGGAUACUUUCACUGGAAGGCAUCUUCUGGUGAAGAAAGAAUUUCGGUCAAGGAUGAGCUCGCGGCCUAUCAGCUUGUUGGUGAGGUAACGGCUCACCAAGGCGACGACGGGUAGCCGGCCUGAGAGGGUGACCGGCCACACUGGGACUGGGACACGGCCCAGACUCCUACGGGAGGCAGCAGUGGGGAAUAUUGCACAAUGGGCGCAAGCCUGAUGCAGCAACGCCGCGUGAGGGAUGAAGGCCUUCGGGUUGUAAACCUCUUUUAGCAGGGAAGAAGCGAAAGUGACGGUACCUGCAGAAAAAGCACCGGCUAACUACGUGCCAGCCGCCGCGGUAA